GCCUUCAGCCAUAGUAUCGAAGGCUAUGAUUGUAUCAGAGCUCAUAAGCUAGGUAUGGCUGGCUUGGUCAGUACUUGGUCUGGAGCUGUCCCAGGAACACCAGGGUGUUGAGAGUA
rnacentral:rRNA from 1 species